ensembl:lncRNA
CCGGGGGCUCCGCGACGCGCGGGGCGGCGCGGGUGCUUGGUGCCGGUGGAGACCCCCCUACCUGCGGGCGUUCGGGCCUGGCGGGAGCGGGCGGAGCGCGAGGGGACGUGAAGGCUCGGUUGCUCGGGGGCGCGCGGGCCCCGCGCAGACCGCCCCCUCGGGCGCUCUGGGCAGUGAGCCGCGGGCUGCACGUCGGGGUGUAGGCGCCGCGGCGCUGCGGAGCGGUCGGAGCGGGGCGGCUUCCGCCUUCCGAGCCGCCUGCGUCAGCUGCGGCUUCGCCCCAGGCGCCGGGCCCGCUCCCCGAGAGCGAGCGAGUGCGUCGCCCGGAGCGCGCGGCUGGCGGCGGCGGGGCUGGCGCGCGGGCCGCCGGCUGCUCGCCCCGCGGAGGCGACCUGGGCCGGCGCUGCUGGGAACUUGGGAAAACUUUCCGGGAGCCGGGCUGGCCGCAGAGGCGAGGGGAGGCCUCGGCCGCGCCCCGCUGCCGCCCAAAUCCGAGUCUGCGGAGCCCGGGAGGGCCCCCGGCUUCCUUCUCCAACCUCGCCGAGGCGGAGGCGGGGAGGUCGGCGGGGUAGGGGGGCGAGGACCCCGCGCAGGCUCGGCGAGCGGCCGGCGGCGAGGCCGGAGCCCUGGGGCUCGCGCCUACCCGCCCCGCCGCCCGGGACGCAGUGCCGGGAUUGCACCUGUAGGCGGCCUCGGAGCCGCUCUGGGUGGCCCGAGCCCAGCCUGGGAGACACUGUCUCCCCGCCGUCGCCCAGCAGCACAACUGGGCUUCUCUGGGGUAUCAGUGGAAACAGCGAUACUCGAGGUCACAACCAAGGUCAAAGGAAACCUGCCCAACGCCUCUACCAGCCCCUUUCUGGGGGGACCUGCUGCUGUGUUGGAGGGGAUCUCUUUAGGGAAAAGAUCGAUUUCCCCGGAAAGGUGCACCAAGUUUUGACCCCUGUGUGGGGUACGUUCUACGGGAAAGCGUGACUAUUUAGGAGCCAGAUCGUGGCUCAAACCCUCAGAAGCUGUUGGCCACGAUGGGCUGCAAGGGUCAAGGGAAAAUAUUUUCCAAGCUCCUGUGUUAAAAGAGAAUAAAAGGAUAGCUAAUUGUGGUUAUUUGUGGGUGGGUCGAUACGGACAGUAUUUUCACUACUUGCUCUCAUCAGGCUAGAAAAUAAAACAAGGCAGCUAACUGACCUCUUUACACUGGUUCAGAAUCACCAAGAACGGUUUAGGAAUACUGGCAUUUUAACAGCUUUUUAAUGAUAAUGUGUCCCAUCUUGAUGGUCAUUGGUGAGAGAACUAGUCCAUAUUUUGGAAAGGACAUUUCCAAGAGCAGAAUCAUAAGCAGUAGCACCCAGGGUGUUUUGUCUUAAUGUACCCCAGUCUCAGCUCCCCCCGUUAUCCUAAAUACAAGACAUCCAGCUUUCAUAGGUAAUCACAUCUAGGCUUUUCUCACCAACAUGUCCAUACAAACCAAUCUCUCCCACCUCCUAUCUGCCCCCUUCUCACCUCUGCCCCCAAAUUUUCCAUAAUUGAAGUGCUAAGUAAUGGUUUAAAAGCAAAAGGUUGGUAUUGGGGGAAAAAUUCACAAAGGCUAGUAAGGUCUUAAAAUGCUCAUUCCUUGGUGUUCCCCAUGUCUGAACCUGUUUUGUUUCUGUGCCUGUUACCUGUUCCGCACACCCCUCAGGAAGGAGUCAAGCCGUUCACUGAAGAGUUUAGACCCAGCCACCCGACUUAACUCGAGAGGACUGCCUGAGAUGCCAGAUGCCUUCAGGUGGGAAUAUGAUGUUCACGUAAGCUGAGGUCAGCUCCAGGCCACAGGUGAAGAGUAUGGUGCCGCUCACCCUUCCUGAGCUUGGGAACCCACUUUUAGAGAAGACAGCUGUGGGCUCGAGGGGAUUCUUCGGAAAAUUUUCAGUUGAGCCUCUUGCAGCUACUUGGUACUCCCCCAAAAAGCCAGUCACGUUUUCCACAACCAACAUCAAGGAGACGCUCUGCCCUCUACUUCCUCCCAGCCGGUUCUCAGCCUCCCUCCCUGGAGAAUGGGGAACUACUGCAGAAAAAACUCCAAUAUGCAAACUCGCCCUUGGCCAGAAGUCCUCAGCUUUUUUGACAGCAGGGACUGGUUUUGUAGAAGACGGUGUUUCCAGGGACCAGAGAUGGGGAGGGAUGGUUUCGGGAUGAUUCGAGCGCAUUACAUUGGUUGUGCGCUUUACUUCUUUAUUACAUCAGCUCCACUUCAGAUCACCAGGCAUUAGAUCCCAGGGGAUGGAGAUCCCUGCCCUUGGCCACUUGCAUCCUGACUUUGGGUGUAGCCUAUAGUAAGUGACCAUUACAGAAAAAUGUUCCUGUGAAUACCAUCACACCUGUAAGAAGGGGAGAGGCUGGUGGCCAGUUCCUGUCUAGCUAGUCUUGUGCGCAAAUCAUAACUGUCUUUGAGUAUAUUUUAUUUUAAUUUUAAAAAGAUGAUGCAUUGUUUUUCUACCAAACUUCUCUACCUUUGCUGAAUCAUCAACAAACAGUAAUACUGAACCCCCUCCCCCCAACACACACACAGCAAAGGCUUACUUAAAGACAUUCAAGCUAUAAUAACUAUUUAAAUACGUUUAGUUGGCUUAAGUCCUUGGUUAAUUGACACUGUGAUGAAAAUCAGCAAGUCAAUAUUUAUUGAGAACUUCAUGACAUGCAAACAACAUGGGUGAUCUCAGAAAUAUGAAGCUGAGUGAAAGAAGCCAGACACAAAAGACUGCAUCCUAUCCAAAUCCAUUUCUAUGACGUUCUAGAACAGACAAGACUAAUCUAUGGUCAAAAAAAAAAAUUGAAAGAGUGGGGAGAUAGGAAGGUAGAGAGGAGCUGGGAAUGGCCUGAGGCCUCUUUUGAGGGAUGGAGAAAGGGAUAAGGAUCUGUCUGUUGAUAAGGCUUUGGAUUACACAAGUGUACACACUUGUCAGAAUUCUAUUAAAUAGUACACUUAAGAUUGGGGCAUUUCAUUGCGUGUUCAAAAACAAAAAUUAGUAAUACUCAUAUUGAGUUAGUUACAUGAGUGCUGAAGUAUUCAGAGGAAGAGAAAUGCUAUUUGCAACUUGAAAAUGCAUAAAAAAUUAGAGGGAUGGAUGGGUGAAGAAGGCUGGAUCACUUGAUAAGUGCAAGAACAAAAUAUUGAAGUGUUAGUGAUAGGAUCUAGGUGGUGGGCACACUGGUGUUCGUGUAAAAUUCUUUCACACUUUUCUGUGUUGAAAAUUUUUCACUAUAAAAUGUUGAGGAAAACAGCUACUGAUGUGCCAGGUAUUGUUUAGGUGCCAGUAAUACAGUGGAUAACACAGAAUAAUGGGCUAAAUAAACUAGAGGGCAUGCUUGUAAGGGAUGAUGACAGUUCUUUUUUCCUUUUUGUAGUUCAAACGUUGUUGUUGUUGCUUAUCAACCAGAUGAUGAGUUUAGAUUGUGGUAGUGAACACACGGGGCUUCCCAGGUGGCUGUGGUAAACAAUCCGCCUGUCAGUGCGGGAGACGUGGCUUUUGUCUCUGGGUCGGGAAGAUCUCCUGGAGAAGGAAAUGGCAACCCACUCCAGUAUUCUUGCCUGGAGAAUCCCAUGGACAGAGGAGGCUGGCGGGCUACAGAAUCGGACACGACUGAGCACACACACAGUGAGCACGAGGAAGGCAGUUUCGUUCCCCCACCCUUUUUCUCCUAAUCCUUUCUCUCCAAUAAGUAAGAGUGAGAGUGUCCGACUCUUUGCCAUCACAUGGACUGUAGCCCACCAGGCUUCUCUGUCCAUGGGAUUUUCCAGGCAAGAGUACCGGAGUGGGUUGCCAUUUCCUUCUCCAGGGGAUCUUCCCAACCCAGGGAUUGAACCCAGGUCUCCCGCAUUGCAGGCAGAUGCUUUACCCUCUGAGCCACCAGAGAAGCCCAAUAAGUAAGAGAAACAGGUCCAAAUACAGACAAAGGACAGGUGAAAUAUCUUUCAGUAUCUUCCUUUUUCUUUGAGAAUGAAGUUUGUGCAAGUUCACGAGCCCCCUUCCAUGGAAAAGUAGUUGUGAUAUGUUUAUGUCCCUUUUCAGCAGGAGCAAAGAACACAUCCGUGUCCUCCAAGCUCUCUACCAUAUGACCGUCUCAGAAUAUGUAAGCCUUUGUAAACUCUGUGUAACCAGCUCCCCAGAGAAGCAUAUCGUCUGAUUACAUAGCCACCUCCGUGGAUUAUUCUUAUUCUUUCACAUCACAAGGAGUCCUGGAUCAGAAAAAAAAAAAAACCACCUAUGGGCAAUAAAUUAAACAUUAUCAGGAUAAAGUUAUACCUCCCACCACCAUCAUAACCAGGUCGAAAUUUAUACACCCAAGCACAAACUGAGUAGAUCUAACCAUUUUUAACCCCCAAAGCUUCAUCUUACAUACACAAGAGAUCUGAAUUCAUUUUCUUGAAAACUAGAACGAUGAAUUUCUUGAAUUGUCAACAGUAAUUUUGUAUGAGCUUUGCUUUAAACAUUGUUUUGGUUUUGCCUUGAGCUCAGGUAUUUAUAAUUUUUCCUGUCUUGCCCCAACCCUGUUUCACAUUCAUUAUCUGGAAAUCUAUCAGGCCAAAUAGUUACAUGUCCAUAUCCUCCUUAAUAAGCCAAUCACAGAAAGUCGGAAAAACCCCAAGAUAGAGAAUUUGGGAACCCUGGGACUAAUUUCCUCAUUUCACUCCUUGAAUUAAAACCAAAAGUUUUUAAAAUGACCUUUCAUAAAUUUAUAUCUGCCUGCAUGCAAUGCAGGAGAGCCAGGUUUGAUCCCUGGGUCAGGAAGAUCCCCUGGAGAAGGAAAUGGCAGCUCACUCCAGUGUUCUUACCUGGAGAAUCCCAUGGACUGAGAAGCCUGGCAGGCUACAGGCCAGGUCGCAAAGAGUCGGACACGACUUAGUGACUAAACCA